rnacentral:RNase_P_RNA from 2 species
GUUUUCGGAUAAUCGCGGAAUACAUUAGGUGUUCUGAGGAAAGUCCAUGCUCGCACAAGCUGCGAUGCUUGUAGUGUUCGUGCUUAGCGAAACAAUAAGCUAAGGUAUAGUUUAGGCUAUAACGGCAGAAAAAAUAGCUAAGGAGCAAUCUAUGCUAGAGUAUUCUUGAAAGUGCCACAGUGACGAAGCAGUUGAAGAAAUUUAAUUGGUGGAACGCGGUAAACCCCUCGAGCGAGCAACCCAAACAAUGGUAGGGGCGCCUUUUGAACGGAAAUGAACGGGUCAAAGGGGCAAUAUAAUUGCAGAUAGAUGAUUAUCCAAAUCCUUUUAUUACCCUGGAAAGGAUUGGACAAAACAUGGCUUAUAGAA